rnacentral:rRNA from 1 species
CAAGUCGAACGCGAAAGUCCCCUUCGGGGGACAAGUAGAGUGGCGCACGGGUGAGUAACACGUAGGUAAUCUACCUUUGGAUUGGGAAUAACCACCGGAAACGGUGGCUAAUACCGAAUAAUGCAGCGGCACCUAAUGGUGACAGUUGUUAAAGCGGGGGAUCGCAAGACCUCGCGUCUGAAGAGGAGCCUGCGGCAGAUUAGCUAGUUGGUAAGGUAACGGCUUACCAAGGCGAUGAUCUGUAGCCGGCCUGAGAGGGCGGUCGGCCACACUGACACUGACAUACGGGUCAGACUCCUACGGGAGGCAGCAGUCGGGAAUUUUGGGCAAUGGGCGAAAGCCUGACCCAGCAACGCCGCGUGAAGGAUGAAAUCCCUCGGGAUGUAAACUUCGCAAGAACGGGAAGAAUAAGUAAGAGCUAACAUCUCUUACGAUGACGGUACUGUUUGUAAGCUCCGGCUAACUCCGUGCCAGCAGCCGCGGUAAUACGGGGGGAGCAAGCGUUGUUCGGAUUUACUGGGCGUAAAGGGCGCGUAGGCGGCCACCGCAAGUCGACUGUGAAAUCUCCGGGCUUAACCCGGAAAGGUCAGCCGAUACUGCGGGGCUAGAGUGCAGAAGGGGCAACUGGAAUUCUCGGUGUAGCGGUGAAUGCGUAGAUAUCGAGAGGAACACCUGCGGCGAAGGCGGGUUGCUGGGCUGACACUGACGCUGAUGCGCGAAAGCUAGGGGAGCGAACGGGAUUAGAUACCCCGGUAGUCUAGCCUUAACGAUGAAUGCUUGGUGUCUGGGGUUUUAUAGUCCCCGGGUGCCGUCGCUA